rnacentral:ncRNA from 1 species
GGCGAUGCGCCCCGGUCGGAUGUGGAACGGCGAGAGCCGGUCUACCGAUUGGCUCAGGGUGUGGACCGACGUGGUUCGUGGUGGCGGCCCAAGCCCGGGCCUUUGAUACGCCUAUGGAGACGUCGUCGCCUCGAUUGUGGGAUCCAGCACGCGCCGUCUCGGAGUGCUUCGGCACCUGCGUGCUCCAGGCGUCGGCCUGCGGGCUCACCAUUCGGCCCAUCUUGAAACACGGACCAAGGAGUCUGACAUGUGUGCGAGUCAACGAGCUAGAAAACCCGUAAGACGUAAGGAAGCUGAUUGGCGAGAUCCCUCACGGGUGCACCGCCGACCGACCUUGAUCUUUUGAGAGGGGUUCGAGUGAGAGCAUGCCUGUUGGGACCCGAAAGAUGGUGAACUAUGCCUGAGCGGGGCGAAGCUAGAGGAAAAUCUGGUGGAGGCCCGCAGCGAUACUGACGUGCAAAUCGUUCGUCUGACUUGGGUAUAGAGGCGAAAGACUAAUCGAACCGUCUAGUGUCAUGGACUUAGAGUUUAGCCAAGCAAUCCGUGCGGCCUCAAGCAUUCUUUCGCUAAAAAAGGCCUAAGUCAGCCUAUCUCGCAACAAUUAAGGAUCCUUCGCUCAAAAACGCCUAAGUCAGCCUGUCUCGCAACAAU